rnacentral:rRNA from 1 species
UGGGGAAUCUUCCGCAAUGGACGAAAGUCUGACGGAGCAACGCCGCGUGAGUGAUGACGGCCUUCGGGUUGUAAAGCUCUGUUAAUCGGGACGAAAGGCCUUCUUGCGAAUAGUGAGAAGGAUUGACGGUACCGGAAUAGAAAGCCACGGCUAACUACGUGCCAGCAGCCGCGGUAAUACGUAGGUGGCAAGCGUUGUCCGGAAUUAUUGGGCGUAAAGCGCGCGCAGGCGGAUAGGUCAGUCUGUCUUAAAAGUUCGGGGCUUAACCCCGUGAUGGGAUGGAAACUGCCAAUCUAGAGUAUCGGAGAGGAAAGUGGAAUUCCUAGUGUAGCGGUGAAAUGCGUAGAUAUUAGGAAGAACACCAGUGGCGAAGGCGACUUUCUGGACGAAAACUGACGCUGAGGCGCGAAAGCCAGGGGAGCGAACGGGAUUAGAUACCCCGGUAGUCCUGGCCGUAAACGAUGGGUACUAGGUGUAGGAGGUAUCGACCCCUUCUGUGCCGGANNNNACGCAAUAAGUACCCCGCCUGGGGAGUACGACCGCAAGGUUG